rnacentral:rRNA from 1 species
CCCCGUUGAUCCUGCGGGAGAUUGCUGCUAUGAGAGUUCGACUAAGCCAUGCAAGUCAGAGGGCUAUCGCAAGAUAGCACAGGCAGAAUGCUCAAUAACACGUCAAUAAUCUGCCCUUAGGUUCGGAAUACCCUUGGGAAACUGAGGCUAAAACCGGAUAGAGAAUUAGUACUGGAAUGUCUUUUUCUUGAAAGGCAACGCCUAAGGAUGAGUUGGCGGCCGAUUAGGCUGUUGGUAGUGUAACGGACUACCAAACCUACGAUCGGUACGGGCCGUGAGAGCGGGAGCCCGGAGAGGGGUACUGAGAUACGGACCCCAGCCCUACGGGGUGCAGCAGGCGCGAAAACUUUACAAUGCACGCAAGUGCGAUAAGGGAACUCUCAGUGCUCAUGCUUUAUGCAUGGGCUUUUGCCAAGUGUAAAUAACUUGGCGAAUAAGUGGUGGGUAAGACGGGUGCCAGCCGCCGCGGUAACACCUGCGCCACAAGUGGGAAUCACAUUUAUUUGGCCUAAAGCGUUCGUAGCCGGAUAGGACAGUCUCGGGUGAAAUCGUUGCGCUUAACAAAACGACGUGCCUGAGAUACUACCUGUCUAGGGACCGGGAGGCGGUAGGAGUAUUCCUGAGGGAGCGGUAAAAUGCUAUAAUCUCAGGAGGACUACCUGUGGCGAAGGCGCCUACCGAGAACGGGUCCGACGGUGAGGAACGAAAGCUAGGGGAGCAAACCGGAUUAGAUACCCGAGUCGUCCUAGCCGUAAACGCUGUGAACUAGAUGUUACAUAUCCCUCGUGGAUAUGUAGUGUCGAAGCGAAGGUAUUAAGUUCACCGCCUGGGAAGUACGGUCGCAAGGCUGAAACUUAAAGGAAUUGGCGGGAGAGCACCACAAGGGGUGCGGCGUGCGGUUCAAUUUAACUCAACGCAGAGCAUCUCACCAGCAGCGACGGCAGAAUGAAGGUCAGUCUGAAGGGCUUACCCAACGAGCCGAGAGGUAUUGCAUGGCCGUCGUCAGCUCGUGCCGUAAGGUGUCCUCUUAAGUGAGGUAACGAGCGAGACCCAUGCCCAUAAUUGCCAGCAGGUUCUUCGGAACGACUGGGCACAUUAUGGGGACUGCCUGGGAAACCAGGAGGAAGGUGUGGGCCACGGUAGGUCUGUAUGGUCCGAAUCUGCUGGGCUACACGCGCGCAACAAUGGCGAGGGCAAUGGGAUGCAACGCCGAAAGGCGGAGCUAAACCUCUAAACCUCGUCUUAGUUUGGAUUGAGGGCUGUAAUUCGCCCUCAUGACAUCGGAAUCCCUAGUAAUCGGUCCUCAUCAUAGACCGGUGAAUAUGUCCCUGCUCUUUGCACACACCGCCCGUCAAACCAACCGAGUUGGGUUUAGGUGAGAUCCAUCUUUCAGGUGUAUCGAACCUAGAUUCGGUGAGGUGGGUUAAGUCGUCACAAGGUA